CUGUAUUUGGUUGAGCCCCCUGAGGGGUUCAUCCACUUCCCAUCUUGAGAACAAUAUUACCGUUGUGCGCAAGUGCGCAAAAUUUUUAUAUUAUAAAAUGUUUUA
rnacentral:misc_RNA from 1 species